GACGAACGCUGGCGGCGUGCUUAACACAUGCAAGUCGAGCGGAAAGGCCCUUCGGGGUCCUCGAGCGGCGAACGGGUGAGUAACACGUGAGUAACCUGCCCCAGACUUUGGGAUAACCCUCGGAAACGGGGGCUAAUACCGGAUACGACACAGCUUCGCAUGGGGUCUGUGUGGAAAGUUUUUCGGUUUGGGAUGGGCUCGCGGCCUAUCAGCUUGUUGGUGGGGUGAUGGCCUACCAAGGCGACGACAGGUAGCCGGCCUGAGAGGGCGACCGGCCACACUGGGACUGAGACACGGCCCAGACUCCUACGGGAGGCAGCAGUGGGGAAUAUUGCACAAUGGGCGGAAGCCUGAUGCAGCGACGCCGCGUGAGGGAUGACGGCCUUCGGGUUGUAAACCUCUUUCAGCAGGGACGAAGCGUAAGUGACGGUACCUGCAGAAGAAGCGCCGGCCAACUACGUG
rnacentral:rRNA from 1 species